CACAUUGCCCUCUUCACUACCUCUCUCAAAAGAGAUUACCAGAUAGCAGGAGCUGCCAGAGGCACAGACAGAGCGACAGAUAUGGACAUGGGAAAGGACCUGGAGAGGACGAAGGUCGAAAACUGUAAUCAACGAAGCUGACAAAAGUGCUCUGGGCAUGGUGGACAGCAUAAUCGGAGAAGCACAGAAGAAACUGGCGGCAGCUGACCAACACAGCCCAGGAUGCCGUGAAGGGAGUAGCGAAGGAUUCAACCACCAAAUAGACAGGGAACGGAGCUGUGGACCCUGUCAAGCUGGCAAAGAGUUUCUUCUGAUCUACCCCCUACCCCAUACCCCUACCCGACUGGAACGUUCCUUCUAAAUUCAUAAUUAUGUGGAAUAAAAAUUAUAAUUAUCAUUAAAAAA